rnacentral:rRNA from 1 species
CCUACGGGGGGCAGCAGUGGGGGAUAUUGCACAAUGGGGGAAACCCUGAUGCAGCGACGCCGCGUGGGUGAAGAAGCGCCUCGGCGCGUAAAGCCCUGUCAGCAGGGAAGAAAAUGACGGUAACUGAAGAAGAAGCCGCGGCUAACUACGUGCCAGCAGCCGCGGUAAUACGUAGGGGGCAAGCGUUAACCGGAUUUACUGGGUGUAAAGGGGGCGCAGACGGCGAUGCAAGCCAGGAGUUAAAGCCCGGGGCCCAACCCCGGGACUGCUCGUGGAACUGCGUGGCUAGAGUGCAGGAGGGGCAGGCGGAAGUCCGGGUGUAGCGGUGAAAUGCGUAGAUAUCAGGAGGAACACCGGUGGCGAAGGCGGCCUGCUGGACUGCAACUGACGUUGAGGCCCGAAAGCGUGGGGAGCAAACAGGAUUAGAUACCCGGGUAGUC